AGCAGGCGCGCAAAUUACCCAAUCCCGACACGGGGAGGUAGUGACAAUAAAUAACAAUACGGGGCUCUUUCGGGUCUCGUAAUUGGAAUGAGUACAAUUUAAAUCCCUUAACGAGGAACAAUUGGAGGGCAAGUCUGGUGCCAGCGGCCGCGGUAAUUCCAGCUCCAAUAGCGUAUAUUNAAGUUGUUGCAGUUAAAAAGCUCGUAGUUGAAUUUCGGGAUUGACACAUCGGUCGUGCCUUAAGGGGUAUGAACUGGUGUAGUCAAUUUCUCACCUUCUGGAGAACCGCGAUGCCCUUAAUUGGGUGUCACGGGGAACCAGGACCUUUACUUUGAAAAAAUUAGAGUGUUUAAAGCAGGCAUUUUGCUUGAAUACAUUAGCAUGGAAUAAUAAAAUAGGACGGCAUGAUUCUAUUUUGUUGGUUUCUAGGAUCACCGUAAUGAUUAAUAGGGAUAGUUGGGGGCAUUAGUAUUCAAUUGUCAGAGGUGAAAUUCUUGGAUUUAUUGAAGACUAACUACUGCGAAAGCAUUUGCCAAGGAUGUUUUCAUUAAUCAAGAACGAAAGUUAGGGGAUCGAAGACGAUCAGAUACCGUCGUAGUCUUAACCAUAAACUAUGCCGACUAGGAAUCAGACGAUGUUAAUUUUUUAAUGACUCGUUUGGCACCUUACGGGAAACCAAAGUGUUUGGGUU
rnacentral:rRNA from 1 species